CCUACGGGAGGCAGCAGUGGGGAAUAUUGCACAAUGGGGGAAACCCUGAUGCAGCGACGCCGCGUGAGUGAAGAAGUAAUUCGUUACGUAAAGCUCUAUCAGCAGGGAAGAAAAUGACGGUACCUGAGUCAGAAGCCCCGGCUAAACACGUGCCAGCAGCCGCGGUAAUACGGAGGGGGCAAGCGUUAUCCGGAUUUACUGGGGGUAAAGGGAGCUUAGACGGUGCGCCAAGUCUGGAGUGAAAGGCCGCAGCGUAACUGGGGAACUGCUUUGGAAACUGGCGAACUAGAGUGCGGGAGGGGUAAGCGGAAUGCGUGGUGUAGCGGUGAAAUGCGUAGAUAUUAGGAGGAACACCGAUGGCGAAGGCAGCUUACUAAACCGUAACUGACGUUGAGGCUCGAAAGCGUGGGGAGCAAACAGGAUUAGAUACCCUUGUAGUC
rnacentral:rRNA from 1 species